UUUGAUUCUGGCUCAAGGACGAACGCUGGCGGCGUGCUUAACACAUGCAAGUCGAGCGGAGAAUAUAGCAAUAUAUUCUUAGCGGCGGACGGGUGAGUAACGCGUGGGUAACCUGCCUUUUACUGGGGGAUAACACUGGGAAACUAGUGCUAAUACCGCAAUAAAAUAGUGAAGUGGCAUCACUUUACUAUCAAAGGAGCAAUCCGGUAAAAGAUGGACCCGCGUCCGAUUAGCUAGUUGGAGGGGUAACGGCCCACCAAGGCGACGAUCGGUAGCCGAACUGAGAGGUUGAUCGGCCACAUUGGGACUGAGACACGGCCCAGACUCCUACGGGAGGCAGCAGUGGGGAAUAUUGCGCCAAUGGGGGAAACCCUGACGCAGCAACGCCGCGUGAAGGAUGAAGGUUUUCGGAUUGUAAACUUCUUUGAUUGGGGACGAUAAUGACGGUACCCAAAAAACAAGCCACGGCUAACUACGUGCCAGCCGCCGC
rnacentral:rRNA from 1 species